AAACUUUCAGCAAUGGAUCUCUUGGUUCUCGCGUCGAUGAAGAGCGCAGCGAAUUGCGAUACUUAAUGUGAAUUGCAGAUUUUCGUGAAUCAUCGAGUUCUUGAACGCACAUUGCGCCCUCUGGUAUUCCGGAGGGCAUGCCUGUUUGAGCGUCAUUUC
rnacentral:rRNA from 1 species